GUGCGCGGUGGCCACCGAGCGGUUUGUUUUGCUCGCGGCCCGGGCGCCCUGUGGCGGCGGCGGCGGGGAGCGACCGGGACUGCCCGUUCCCCCCUCCCACCCCCGCCGCCGCGCCGGGACCCGGAGGGCGGCCGCCGGAAGGAGGCGGCGGCGGCGCGGGCCUGGGAAUGUGGCGGCGGCUGUGAGCCCUCCCCCUCGGCCCAGCCGCCAUGGAGCCGCGGCGGUGACAGCCCCGUACCUCAGCGCGCCGCCGCCCGCCGGGCGCGGGCCCGCCGCCCGCCAAGAUGGAUGAACAAGAGGCCUUGAAAUCCAUCAUGAAGGACCUGGCAGCCCUCCAGAUGAGCCGGCGUCACAGACUGCCUGGAUAUGAUACCAUGAAGAAUAAAGACAGCCCUCACUCCAACAAACAGAAAAGACACAAUGCCAGCAGUCCUCCCCUCUUGGGCAGCCCUGCAAUAACAAACCAGUGUGCCUCUGCAGUGGAAGAAAAAAAAAUCCCGAACGACGUAAGGAUAAAGUUUGAGCACAACGGGGAGCGACGAAUUAUCCCAUUUGUCCGUCCCGUGCGCUAUGAAGACGUGCAACAGAAAGUGAAAACAGCCUUUGGCCAGCCACUGGACCUCCACUACAUGAACAAUGAGCUGUCUAUCCCUUUGAAAAACCAAGAUGACCUGGAUAAAGCAGUGGAUCUCUUAGACCGAAGCUCUAACGUGAAAAGCCUUAGAAUAUUAUUGCUGUCUCAGGACAGAAACCAUACCAGUUCUUCACCCCAUUCUGGACUGCCCAAACAAGUCAGGAUUAAAACUUCCCAGUCUGUGGGGGAUGUGAGCACACCCUAUCAGCAGCCAGAACCCAGAAGUAGGCAUCUGUCUGUCAGUUCCCAGAACACAGGCCGAAGUUCACCACCCCCUGGGUACGUUCCAGAGAGGCAGCAGCGCAUCGCUCGGCAGGGUUCCUACACCAGCAUAAACAGUGAGGGGGAAUUCAUCCCAGAAACCAACGAGCAGUGUAUGCUGGACCCUUUAAGCAGCGCUGAGAACUCGGUGUCAGGAAGCUGCCAGUCCUUGGACAGGUCAGCAGACAGCCCCUCUUUUCGGAAGUCCAGGAUGUCAAGGGCACAGAGCUUCCCUGAUAACAGACAGGAGUUCUCAGACCGUGAGAAUCAGAUCUAUGACAAAGCAGGGAAAGGUGGCACCUACCCGCGGCGCUACAACGUCUCCAUGCAGCACAAAGACUACAACGAUGGCCGGAGGACAUUUCCCCGGAUACGGCGUCACCAGGGGAAUCUUUUCACCUUGGUCCCUUCAAGUCGUUCCUUAAGCACCAACGGAGAAAACCUGGGCCUGGCCUUGCAGUACCUGGACCCCCGGGGCCGCCUGCGCAGCGCCGACAGCGAGAACGCCCUCGGUGUGCAGGAGAGGAACAUUCCCACCAAAUCUCCGAGUGCUCCACUGAACUGGCGGCGAGGGAAGCUGCUGGGCCAGGGAGCCUUUGGCCGCGUGUAUUUGUGCUACGAUGUGGACACGGGCAGAGAGCUGGCAGCUAAGCAGGUCCAGUUUGACCCAGAGAGCCCUGAAACAAGCAAGGAAGUAAGUGCCCUGGAGUGUGAAAUUCAGCUGCUGAAGAACCUCCAGCACGAACGAAUCGUUCAGUACUACGGCUGCUUACGGGACCGGGCAGAGAAGACCUUGACCAUCUUCAUGGAGUACAUGCCAGGGGGGUCAGUGAAAGACCAGCUGAAGGCCUACGGUGCUCUGACGGAGAACGUGACCCGGAAAUACACUCGCCAGAUCCUCGAGGGAGUCUCCUACCUUCACAGCAACAUGAUUGUGCACAGGGACAUAAAGGGAGCCAAUAUUCUCCGUGACUCUGCUGGGAAUGUGAAGCUUGGGGACUUUGGGGCCAGCAAACGGCUGCAGACAAUCUGUAUGUCUGGAACAGGCAUCCGCUCCGUCACUGGCACGCCAUAUUGGAUGAGCCCGGAGGUGAUCAGCGGAGAAGGCUAUGGAAGGAAAGCAGACGUGUGGAGCCUUGCUUGUACCGUUGUGGAAAUGCUGACGGAGAAGCCACCCUGGGCAGAGUACGAAGCCAUGGCAGCCAUCUUCAAGAUCGCCACCCAACCAACCAACCCCCAGCUGCCCUCCCACAUAUCAGAACAUUGCAGGGACUUUCUAAAGCAGAUCUUUGUGGAAGCCAGGCACAGACCCUCUGCUGAAGAGCUGCUCAGACACCAGUUUGCACAGCUCCAGUACUGAAUUACCUCCCUCGCUAGCAGCUCCUGCUGGGCUCUGGGUGCCCCGUCUGGUCUAGUUGCAACUGCCCCUUGUGGUGCUGCAUCUUCAAAAUGCCAACUCAGCUGUCCUAGUCCUUUGGGGAAAUGAUGCCAAGGAACCUAGGGUCUGCUCUUGUGCCUGAUACCUUUGUUUGCUGGACUAAUGUUUGUUCUACCGACAGCUGUCCAAACAGAGCUGCAUUUUUUUGCCCUAGCUCCCUUGAUGUGGAAGUGCAGCUGGCUGCCUGCUUUCUGCGGGCCCGAGAGUGGCGGCCCGAGAAGCGUCUCACUGAACACAGAAGAAACCACUGAACCCAAGUGGGAACUGGAGUUCACAACAGAAACAUGCAACAGCCACCCAGAGCAGCUCUCUCUCUACGUGUGGGUCACUGGUUUCCAGCCUGCUAGGGCAUCUCUAGUACAUGAAUCCAGCAAAAAGCCAUGUGUCAUUGAGCAUGCGCUCGCUAUAUAAUGAUGAUAUAUUUUUCUUCUUAAGUAUUCAGCAUCUGAAGGUGUUCAGAAAAUAUUGAUUCAGAAGUGUGCAAGUGUUCACUUAAAAUUCCCAUCAAAUGUUCUGGCCCUCUUUCUAUGAGGUGUAUCAAACAGGGAACCAGAGAGAACCUUUUUGUAAUGCUGGUGCAUUUCUCAAAUGAACUGGAGAUUCCCAUGCCAGGUACCAGCAAAAUGUCUGCAGGUGGGUUUGGAUCUGAAAGGUACCACGUCUGUGAGAGCCGAGGUCCUGGUGGCUGGCUGCCCUGGAAUACUGUGUGGGGUCUGGGCACUGCUAGUCCUUAUUUCACUCCAAAAGACCUAACAGUUUUUAAGUGCUGGGGAUUUGUGGAGUAAUUUGGAGUUACCUGUGUGAAAGAAAAAUAAGCAAUGUAUUAGUAGCUAAAAUACUGCUUUAUGGAGCACCACUGGAGGUGGUGUGCUCUUGUGUUGGAAACCACCUGAAGGCUCCACGUAACUUCCACUCUUCUCCACCAUAAAAACUUGCAACCAAGAAAAUUAGCAGUUCUUAACUGAAUGCUAGUAGCAGGAUAAGGCAAGUUUUAGUGAAAGCAAACUCCUUGAACACACAAUAAAUACUGUGUUGAAUUAAAGAGAGAUGCAAAAGAACCCUAAAAACCCCCUAAACAACCAAAAGCCCUGAAAGGAUUUAACAAUCUGAAGUGGGUUUUUUUCUGUGCCAGACUCUGAGCAACGAGUGAUCAGUGAAAAGCAAGCUGGUGGUGCUUUCACUUUCAGGCUCUCCUGCACUACUACAAGGAUGCACUGUUUAGGUUGCAGGCACUUAGGGGGAUAUCUUUUCUGAAAGCCCUUGUUCCAUAAUUUAUUUAAGUCUAGUGAGAGCACUUCUAAUGAUCUUUCCCAAACCUGGAACUUGACUCCAAAUUGUCACAGACACAGGGCCUGACUUUUGGCCUGCACUUCACUGUCGCUUGCGCCGAAGGGAGGUUGAGGGCGUGAGGCUUCUACCCUGGCUUUACAGCACUCUGCUGUGGUGUGACUGGCUGCUGAGGAAUGGGAAAUCCUUCCUGGAGUCUUUGUGGCAGAAGUAGAUGGUCAGCACUCUCGUGGGAGCCUGGUAGCACUCUCCAAGCCUUGCAACCAGCACCUAAAUAUACCAAAGAUUGGAACCUUUCCACCCACACUUCACCCCAGCAGCGAUCGAGAGUGCAGUGAUGCUGUCUCUGUAGGCUUCUCUCUACCCUUGGCUUGUCCUCACCAAACUGAGACCUCCUUCCGUGGUCUUUUCCUUGCUGUGUUUUGGGAGAACAGGGCAUGAGGAAACAGUGUCACUCUUAAUGUUUCCAAGCAACUAAAUCCUCAGGAUCUGUUGUGGCUUUUACCUCAUAUCCACCGCGGAAGGCUGCUCCAGAGCAGAGCAAAGAGCACCACGGACCGAUGGGCUCGGUCCUUUUUUCCCCUCCAGAGCUUCUGGUCCUUCCCCCCCACCACCUCUGCUGAAAUGUGCCUACUCUGUGUUGCACACUUUGUAUUGCAGUCUGUAUUCAUGGGAAGCAAGUAGCAGCUGUAGAGUGACAAGAGACCA